rnacentral:rRNA from 1 species
AUAAUCAAUUGUUUUUUAAUUAAAAGCUUGAAUGAAUGGUUGAACGAGAUAUAAACUGUUUCAAAUUAAAUAGAAUUUGAAUUUAAAUUUUUAGUAAAAAUGCUAAAAUAUGAUUUAAAGACGAGAAGACCCUAUAGAAUUUAAUAUUUUAAUUGAAUAAAUAUAUGAAAAUUUAAUUUUUAUUUAAAUAAAUUAUUUAAUUGGGGCAAUUUUAGAAAAAAAAAUUUAUAUAAAUUAAACAAAAGUAAUUGAAUUUUUGAGUGUUUAUUAAGAAAUAUAAGAUAAAAUUACCUUAGGGAUAACAGCAUAAUUUUUUUUGAAAGUUCAAAUUAAUAAAAGAGAUUGU